GAAAAUGUAAUUUAGGUGUCAUUUCUAUAUUGUAUAAUUAGGGAAUGAUGGUUGAAAGCGUUUGAUUUCACUAAGCACGAAGAGGAGUUAGUGUGUCUCUUCUGAGGGCAAAACAAGCAGCGUGUGUUGCUUUAAUGUAGCUUCUGUUCGCUAUUGAUGAGUAUUCCUGCUUCCUUUUUAGGGAGCCGUGCGGGAAUGAACAGGGUCUUAGUG